rnacentral:rRNA from 1 species
UACGAGAGGCCCAAACGUUAUUCGGAAUUACUGGGCUUAAAGAGUUCGUAGGCGGCUUGGAAAGUGGGGUGUGAAAGCCCUCGGCCUAACCGAGGAAUUGCGCUCCAAACUACCGAGCUUGAGUAGGCUAGAGGUGAGCAGAACUGAUGGUGGAGCGGUGAAAUGCGUUGAUAUCAUCAGGAAUACCGGAGGCGAAGGCGGCUCACUGGGACCUAACUGACGCUGAGGAACGAAAGCGUGGGGAGCAAACAGG